UGGGGACACUGUUGGGGCCGCCUCUGGCUAAAGACGGAGGAAGGAAUGGGCAACGGUAGGUCAGCAUGCCCCGAAUUAGUCCGGGCUACACGCGGGCUACAAUGGUCAGGACAAUGGGUAUCGACACCGAGAGGUGGAGGCAAUCUCCUAAACCUGUCCUUAGUUCGGAUUGUGGGCUGCAACUCGCCCACAUGAAGCUGGAAUCCGUAGUAAUCGCGUUUCAAAAUAGCGCGGUGAAUAUGUCCCUGCUCCUU
rnacentral:rRNA from 1 species